rnacentral:lncRNA from 1 species
UAACCAUUCUUUGUGGGGUCUGAACCGACCACAGCACAUCCCCAAUCUUCCGUUGUAUCACUCCAGCUAUCCACUUGGGCUUGCAAAGGCCGUACCAACGGCACCACACGGCCAUUUUGAUUUUAAAUUUUUACGUUCGUGGUGAAGGAGGAGAAGGAGAAGGAGGAGAAGACAGGAAGGUAUCCAUGCAAUCGCAUACGAAUACGGCGUGCACCCAACAGCUCAGCUGGUGUGCUCCCAUACUCUAACGGCGUUGCCCUGUAGGCAAAUAAGAUUUCCUCUACUUGCCCAUUGGACUGCAGAUGAUAUUGGGGAGAGAAGGAAUGGGCUACCCCCCAUUCGGACAUCUUUGCUUUGAAAAAUUUACUUGUGAAGUGUGCCCAUUGUCCGAAUGUACUUUCUUUGGGAAUCCAAAACGCGAAAACCGCGCAAAAAGUUGCCUAAGCAUAGCCUCUGAUGAUGUAUUCGUCAUGUACGCCGCUUCUAUUCACUUGGACCCAGCAUCCAUUAGUAUUAAAAAAUCUUUGCCCUUUAUCUUGCCAUAAUCCAUGUGGACUCUCUCCCAUACAUUCGCAGGCGAGAAGGGAGUGAAUUGUGAUGCCGGGGCCGGAGCACUCUCCUGACAUGUGCGACAUGCUGAUACAAAAUCUUCAACAUCAUCAUCGAAGCCGGGCCACCAAAUCACACUUCGAGACACAGACUUCAUCUUUAUAACGCCUCGAUGCGUCAAAUGCAACUCUUACAUAAACUUUCUUCUCAAGGGAAGAGGGACAAUGAAGCAGGACACCCCAAAACAACAAGCCAUUCUUGAGGGACAAACAAUUCUUCCUUUGGGAGUAGGCCCUGAGGAUGGCACUGUCCCAUACACCCGUUCUAGCAGCCUCCACAGCACUGCAAAGCUCUUGAUCCUCCUGUAACGUGGACAGGAGGGACGAUUCAGAAGAGCAUGAGCUAGAGAUAGCUCUACAUUGUAAUAAUUCUGUGGGA